UUAAAGACCCUACAUUACUAGGUCAUGACGAGUGGGUGGGUCAUUGAACCUUAUCGCUAUAAAGAAAAACUACUCACACAAGUCACGUAUCUUGUACAGGUUGAUAUGAGAGGAGUACCAGCAACACUGGUUAAUAUUGUGUCAAGAUGUCAGCCAUUAGCAGUUGCAUAUUUAUGUGAUUAUUUAGAAACAACUAGCUUAAUCUAUUAAUAACACUUAAAGUAGAGAGGAGAGAAAGGAGAAAAAGUGUGAGUGUGUGAUGGAAGGGAAAUAGAUAGAGAGUGACAAAACAUUUUGUACAGAAAUUGUAAGAUUAGUUGUAGUGUAUCUCGUUAAUUGCA